GCGCGAAAACUUUACAAUGCUGGCAACAGCGAUAAGGGAACCUCGCGUGCCAGGUUACAAAUCUGGCUGUCGAGAUGCCUAAAAAGCAUUUCAUAGCAAGGGCCGGGCAAGACCGGUGCCAGCCGCCGCGGUAACACCGGCGGCUCGAGUGGUAACCGUUAUUAUUGGGUCUAAAGGGUCUGUAGCCGGCCGGAUAAGUCUCUUGAGAAAUCUGGCAGCUUAACUGUCAGGCUUUCAGGAGAUACUGUCUGGCUCGAGGCCGGGAGAGGUGAGAGGUACUGCGGGGGUAGGGGUGAAAGCUGGUAAGCCUUGAAGGACCACCAGUGGCGAAGGCGUCUCACCAGAACGGACCUGACGGCAAGGGAGGAAAGCUAGGGGCACGAA
rnacentral:rRNA from 1 species